rnacentral:lncRNA from 1 species
AUUACUUGUGGACCGCGUAUACUUGCGCGUGUAUAUCGAUUGUGAAAUCAACCAACAGUGGGAUGGUGUAUUGACCAUUUUACCCUAGAUUUGAGUGGCCUAUAAAUACCAAGCUUCAUUUCAUUUUGUUGUUUGAUCAAAUUUCAUCCAACUCCUCUCAAGAUAAGCUACUUAUUUGGUAGAAAGAAUAAGACACUUAAGCAUUUAUAAGCCACUUCAACCUUUGUGAGAUUUUCCAAAGGGAAUUGAAGUCAUAGUCUUCAAGGGUAAGACUCAUAUCUAUUAUAUCUUUAUCUCUUCUAUGAUAGGAUUGAUAGACAAGUGGGAUUGGUUGUUAAGAAC